UCUUGGACUUGGACCUCCUCAUUUGAGCCCACAGGUCCACAAAAAUUAGGUUAUAAAUUCAGAGUUUCAGUGAAACAAAAGGCCAUUCUAUUCCUAUUACCCUGUCUGGGAAAAAGAUAGUGAGAGAAGAACCCUGGGGAAAAAGGAAGGGAAGAAAAACACUCUGAGGUAUCCUUAGAACAAAACCCUGGACAAAACCUGAAGAGAAGCCUAGGCAGAGAGAGUGAGAAU
rnacentral:lncRNA from 1 species